rnacentral:rRNA from 1 species
CAGCAGCCGCGGUAAAACAGAGGAUGCAAGCGUUAUCCGGAAUGAUUGGGCGUAAAGCGUCUGUAGGUGGCUUUUCAAGUCCGCCGUCAAAUCCUAAGGCUCAACCCUGGACAGGCGGUGGAAACUACCAAGCUGGAGUAUGGUAGGGGCAGAGGGAAUUUCCAGUGGAGUGGUGAAAUGCGUUGAGAUCGGAAAGAACACCAACGGCGAAAGCACUCUGCUGGGCUGCCACUGACACCGAGAGACGAAAGCUAGGGGAGCAAAUGGGAUUAGAGACCCGAGUAGUCCCUGUCUCUUAUAC